rnacentral:lncRNA from 10 species
GUUGCCUGAGCCAGCAGCCGCAAUCUGCUUUGGUCCCAUUCCACCCUGUGGAGGCUUUGUUCUUCCGCUCUUUGCAGUAAACCUUGCUGCUGCUUACUCUUUGGGUUCGCACCGCCUUAAGAGCUGUAACAUCACGAAGGUCUGCAGCUUCACUCCUGAGGCCAGCGAGACCACGAACCCACUGGGAGGAACGAACAACUCCCAACAGGAGGAAUGAAUAACUCCGGAUGGGAAGAACGAACAGUUCUGGACGGGAGGAACAAACAACUCUAGACGCGCCACCUUAAGAGCUGUGACACUCACUGUGAAGGUCUGCAGCUUCACUCCUGAAGCCAGUGAGACCAUGAACUCACCAGAAGGAAGAAACUCCAAACACAUACGAACAUCAGAAGGAACAAACUCCGGACACACCAUCUUUAAGAACCAUAACACUCACCGGGAGGGUCUGUGGCUUCGUUCUUGAAGUCAGUGAGACCAAGAACCCACCAAUUUUGGACACAAUCUGAUGGUCUUACAAAGGGGCUGUUCUGCUUGCUGGAUUGGAAAUGAUUUUAGCCCCUCAUGCCAGGAAGAAAACAUAGGCAGAUUUCUCACCAGCUAAAAAGGAAGGAAAAAUUGUGAAGUGAAAUUUUCUACUGGCUGUGGUUUAUCCAUGUUAAAUUGUAAAGCAUAUAACACAGAUGGAAUCCGGCACAUGCAAAACACUCACAAAACCUAGUUACUACUACUGCUGGCGCUGCGGCUACACGACUACAACUACUACUACAGCCACUACUCUCCUCCUACUGCUACUGCUGCUGCUGCUAGUGUUUCGUAAAGUGGAGCUACAGAAAUCAACAUUUUUUUUCUUAGCUGCACAGUGAAUUCGUUUUUUGGACUCCAGUAUUCUUCCUGAAGGUCUGUUUCAUCCUAGUAUGACUCUCACUUUUUUUUCAAAAUUUUAUUUUAUUUUAUUUUUGAAAUGGAGCCUCACUCUGUUGCCCAGGCUGGAGUGCAGUGGCGUGAUCUCGGCUCACUACAACCUCCGCCUCUGGGUUCAAGAGAUUCUCCUGCCUCGGCCUACUGAGUAGCUGGGAUUACAGGCACGCGCCACCACGCCCAGCUAAUUUUUGUAUUUUCAGAAGAGAUGGGGUUUCACCAUGUUGGCCAGGAGGGUCUCAAUCUCCUGACCUCAUGAUCCGCCUGCCUCGGCUUCCCAAAGUGCUGGGAUUGCAGGCGUGAGCCACCAUGCCUCUACAUUUUAAUUUUUUAAAACUUACCAUCUUUAUCAUUUUUAAGUGUACAGUUAAGUGGUAAUAAAUACAUAUGUAUCUCCUAUCUCAUUUCCUUAUUUUCAUCCCCCAUCCCAUUUCUGGACUCUGGCUAAUAGCAGUCUACUCGGUAUCAUCACGAGAUCCACGUUUUUAGUUUCCACAUAUGAAUGAGAACAUGCGAUAUUUGUCUUUCUGUGCUUGGCUUAUUUCACUUAACAUAAUGGCCUCUGGUUCCAUCCAUGCUGCUGCAAGUGACAGGAUUUCACUCUUUUUAUAGCUGAAUAAUAUUCCAUUGUGUAAAUAUAACACAUUUCCUUUAUUCAUCUGUUGAUGGGUACUUACGUUGAUUCUAUAUUUUGAAUAGUGCUGCAGUAAACAUGGGAGGGAGAUAUCUCUUUAAUAUACUGAUUUCCUUUCUUUUGAGUAUAUACCCAGCAGUGAAAUUGCUAGACCAAAUGGUAGUUCUAUUUUUAGUUUUUUUGCAGAACCUCCAUACUGUUCUAAUUUACAUUCCCACCAACAGCGUAUGAGGAUUCCCCUUUCUCCACAUCUUCGCCAGAUCUGUUAUCGCCUGCCUUUAUUUACUUAUUUUUAUUUUUAAUUCUUGUGGGUACGUAGUAGGUAUAUAUGGGAUACAUUAGCUGUUUUGAUAUAGACAUGCAAUCUGUAAUAAUCAUAUCAUGGAAAAUGGGGUAUCCGUCCCCUCAAGCAUUUAUUCUUUGUGUUACCAACAAUUCAAUUAUACUCUUUCAGUUAUUUUGAAAUGUAUAAUUAAAUUAUUAUUGAUGUAGUCUCCCUGUUGUGCCGUCAUUAAUUCUAAGACUUAUUCAUUAAUUCUAUUUUUUGUACCCAUUGCCUGCCUUUUUGAUACAAGCCAUUUUAACUGGGGUGCAAUGAUAUCUCAUUGUGGUUUUGAUUUGCACUUCUCUGAUGAUUAGUGAUAUUGAGCAUUUUUUCUUAUACCUGUUAGCCAUGUGUAUGUCUGUUUUUGAGAAAUGUCUGUUCAAAUCUUUUGCC